GAUGAACGCUGGCGGCGUGCUUAACACAUGCAAGUCGAACGAAGCACCUUAUUCUGAUUUCUUCGGAAUGAAAAAUUUGGUGACUGAGUGGCGGACGGGUGAGUAACGCGUGGGUAACCUGCCUCAUACAGGGGGAUAACAGUUAGAAAUGACUGCUAAUACCGCAUAAGACCACAGCACCGCAUGGUGCAGGGGUAAAAACUCCGGUGGUAUGAGAUGGACCCGCGCCUGAUUAGGUAGUUGGUGGGGUAACAGCCUACCAAGCCGACGAUCAGUAGCCGACCUGAGAGGGUGACCGGCCACAUUGGGACUGAGACACGGCCCAAACUCCUACGGGAGGCAGCAGUGGGGAAUAUUGCACAAUGGGGGAAACCCUGAUGCAGCGACGCCGCGUGAGCGAUGAAGUAUUUCGGUAUGUAAAGCUCUAUCAGCAGGGAAGAAAAUGACAGUACCUGACUAAGAAGCACCGGCUAAAUACGUGCCAGCCGCCGCCGUAA
rnacentral:rRNA from 1 species